rnacentral:rRNA from 1 species
GGGCCCCGCACAAGCAGCGGAGCGUGUGGUUUAAUUCGAUGUUACACGAAGAACCUUACCAGGGUUUGACAUGCAAGUGGUAGGAAGCCGAGAGGUGACCGACCUUCGGGGAGCUUGCACAGGUGCUGCAUGGCUGUCGUCAGCUCGUGUCGUGAGGUGUUCGGUUAAGUCCGCUAACGAGCGCAACCCUCGCCGUAUGUUACAAGUGUCAUACGGGACUGCCGGUAAAAAGCCGGAGGAAGGUGAGGAUGAUGUCAAGUCAGCAUGACCUUUAUAUCCAGGGCUACACACACGCUACAAUGGUCUGUACAAUUGGUUGCCAAGCCGCGAGGCGGAGCCAAUCCGUAAAGCAGGCCUCAGUUCAGAUUGCAGUCUGCAACUCGACUGCAUGAAGCCGGAGUUGUUAGUAACCGCAGGUCAGCAAUACUGCGGUGAAUACGUUCCCGGGUCUU